rnacentral:rRNA from 1 species
UACGGGGGGGGCAAGCGUUGUUCGGAAUUACUGGGCGUAAAGGGUUUGUAGGUGGCUCGCUAAGUCACACGUGAAAUCCCUCAGCUUAACUGGGGAACUGCGUGUGAGACUGAUGAGCUCGAGUGCAGGAGAGGAACGCGGAAUUCCAGGUGUAGCGGUGAAAUGCGUAGAUAUCGGAAGGAACAUCAGUGGCGAGAGCGGCUUCCUGGACCAGAACUGACGAUCAGGCUCGAAAGCGUGGGGAGCGAACCGG